GAUGAACGCUGACAGAAUGCUUAACACAUGCAAGUCAACUUGAAUUUGGGUUUUUAACUUAGGUUUGGGUGGCGGACGGGUGAGUAACGCGUAAAGAACUUGCCUCACAGCUAGGGACAACAUUUGGAAACGAAUGCUAAUACCUAAUAUUAUGAUAAUAGGGCAUCCUAUAAUUAUGAAAGCUAUAAGCGCUGUGAGAGAGCUUUGCGUCCCAUUAGCUAGUUGGAGAGGUAACGGCUCACCAAGGCGAUGAUGGGUAGCCGGCCUGAGAGGGUGAUCGGCCACAAGGGGACUGAGACACGGCCCUUACUCCUACGGGAGGCAGCAGUGGGGAAUAUUGGACAAUGGACCGAGAGUCUGAUCCAGCAAUUCUGUGUGCACGAUGAAGUUUUUCGGAAUGUAAAGUGCUUUCAGUUGGGAAGAAACAAGUGACGGUACCAACAGAAGAAGUGACGGCUAAAUACGUG
rnacentral:rRNA from 1 species